AUCUCUUUAGGCAAUUUACCAGAAAUGUUUACAUAUGAACACUUCCCGCUGGCAACCUGGCUUCCCCCUUCUCCAGGAACAGUGUGCCCUCACCGGGGGCCUGACCAGCAGGGAACCAGAAGCUUGGCUCAGGUAGCUUCCAGACAAACUUGUCCUGCAGAUCUGUCUGGGACUCUGAUGGUCUAGCUUGAAACCCAAUCAAUGGCCGCUUCUCAUCUGAGGCACAAAUCCCACAAUCCUCUUUCCUAAUCUGGAGACCAAGGAGAAGCCCUAAGGAGAGGAGGAGGUGGUCUUUUCUAAAGAGUACUUCCCAGUAUAUAGCUUUAGCUCCAUUUUUCAAAAAUGAGAAAACUGAGGCUCAGAACUGUAAGAGGAUUCAUAACAGAAAGGCUCAUGGACAAAAGGAAGGUGCUCAAAACACACUGUUUCCUUAAAUGUAUUUAAAACACAAAUUGAGAACCAAGGGAAGAGGGCUGGAGUGGACUAACCCACUUAGGAUCAAGUCAAACAGUUUGUGUGGGUCAGGAUUUUGGAAGCAGCUUUUCUGGAUGGUUCUGGUUCCAGGUGUCUCAUGAGGUUGCAAUCAGAAUGUCAGCUGGGGUUGCAAGCAUCUAAAAAUUUAACUGAGAUGGAGGAUCCAUCCAUGUCAAGAUGCAGUCAACAUUGCUGGCAAGUUGGUGCUGGCUGAUAGCAGGAGCCCCCAGUCUAUUACCCCAUGAACUUCUCCACUGAGACGCUGGAGAAACAUCAUGAUGUUGCAGCUGUCUUCACCCAGAACAAGUAUAACCCAAAAAGAAAAUGUCUUUUGUGACCUAGUUUUGGAAGUCAUGCACCUUCCACCAUUUCUGCAACAUUCUAUUGGUUAUACAGGAUAGCCCAGCCCAGCAUGGGAGGGGAUUUAGCAAGGGCCAUGGAGCCAGGAUCGUUGGGGCUAUGUUGGGGGUUGGCUUCCUCAGUGAAAUAUUUAUGAAUUUCAUACAUCCAAUCGUUUGCAUCAUCAUUGAGGCUUACUACUCAAUACGAGCACUAAGAAUAAGGUUCACAGCGCCACCUUGCGGGGACUGAAAAGGAGCUCUGGGUCAACACAGAACAAGAGAAGGAGGUGUGCUUGGCUCUACCAUGAUCUCUUUUCAGGGGCUGCAGCUUGUUGAAACUGCCUUCAUCCCCAGGCUUGGGAAAUAUAACUGAACAGGAUCUAGAAGAGAUCUUUUAAACUCAAGACUUGAGACAUUAUAGUUCUUCUUGCAUCCAGGAAAGCACCAACCCCAUAAAUCCUGACCACCCAUGAUGAUGUUUUCUCACCACUUUUGCUUAUGAUGUUAUCCUGUGUGUUUGUUUUGCUCCCAUUUAUGGUAUUAAAUUUGCUUCUAAUGAGUGACAUAUCUUUUUGUGGGACAUGAGGAAAGAUCAUUAUUGAUUCAUGCCUGAUUUGUUCCAGAGCUGCUGAUGGUAGCCUUUGUCAAAAAAAAAAAAAAAAAGCAAACACAACUGUUUAGCCCAUACUGGUACAGAUGUUCUAUGGCUAGACACACAGAAAGCUUGUAGUCAAGUUGUGCUUGGCUUUGCUAAGGUCUUUCAGGAUUUCUUCUAACUGGUUAAGAAAAUAUAACUAUCUUAUAUAUUAUCUUAAAAGUAUCCUAUGGUUGUUCCAGGCUAUCUCAUGUUAGUGCAUAGCAUUUCUUCAUGUCUUGGCUACCAGGGCUCUUCCCUUGGAUUGAGAAGUCCUCAGUAUCACUAGAUUGGGAUAUGCAUAAAAUUUUCAAUUAUUUGCUACUUUUGAAUCUUACUUCCCCCACAAAAUUUAAUGGAAUGAGCCUCUUCAGACCAAGUUCAUUUGAAGUCUUACCAUUAUCACCCUUCAGUUCCUAGCAUGUUUAGUUAAAAAGUGCAGUCGCUUUUGGAACUUCAUGGUUUUCUGGAGAUAGUUAAUUGAUAAUGCUUUGUCUGCCUGUUUUUGUUCCCUGAUAACAUCACUAUGAAUGGGCAAAUCACAGCGGUCAACUCCAGGUAUAUGUGGCCACUGAUCUAGCCAAAACUGUCUAUUCCUUUCCCCUCCAACCACUAUUUGGGGGGUCUCAGCAGUACAGGUUCACUGUUCAUCCCUCUGUCACCAAAUGGUGUGACAAGACCAUUUUCCUCCUCCCACCCUGUCCCAGGAAUUGUCCUGAGAUAACACAUUGAUGUGUCCUCAUUCAGGGAUCAUUUGCUGAUCAUCAUGAGCUCAUCUUCCAUGUGACAGAGAGAUGGCUUCUCAGGGAAUAGCUUUACAGUCAAAGUCCAGGGUCCCAACUACACUCUCCGGACCCUGAAUUGUCAGGACCAUAGGCUACACUGUCAUUGUAGGAGCCCUUUUCCAAAUAGAUGAUUCAGCACCUACUCAUACUAUUGUUUGACUGUACGUCUUUAUUCCUGAUCUCAGACUCUUACACAAAACCAUCCACCAGGUUUCAUGCAUCCCUGCUAUCUUUAAGUGGACACAACAAGAGGUUUUGAGUUGGUGUAGAGGCUGGUACCUG